UGCUCGGAAUCACUGGGCGUAAAGGGCGCGUAGGCGGGGAGGUAAGUCGGGUGUGAAAUCCCUCGGCCCAACCGAGGAACUGCGCCCGAGACUGCUUCUCUUGAGUCCCGGAGAGGAAGAUGGAAUUCCCGGUGUAGCGGUGAAAUGUGUAGAGAUCGGGAGGAACACCGGUGGCGAAGGCGGUCUUCUGGACGGUGACUGACGCUGAGGCGCGAAAGCGUGGGGAGCAAACGGG
rnacentral:rRNA from 1 species